rnacentral:tRNA from 1 species
GCCAGUGUGCUAUAGUGGUUUGAGCAUUGGACUAUGACUCUGGAGAGCAGGGUUCAAUUCCCUGCUCAGCCA